UACGGAGGGUGCAAGCGUUAUCCGGAUUUACUGGGUUUAAAGGGUGCGCAGGCGGAUAUGUAAGUCAGUGGUGAAAUCUCUAGGCUUAACCUGGAAAUUGCCGUUGAUACUAUAUAUCUUGAAUGCUGUGGAGGUAAGCGGAAUAUGUCAUGUAGCGGUGAAAUGCUUAGAUAUGACAUAGAACACCUAUUGCGAAGGCAGCUUACUACGCAGAUAUUGACGCUCAUGCACGAAAGCGUGGGGAU
rnacentral:rRNA from 1 species